rnacentral:rRNA from 1 species
UACAGAGGUCUCAAGCGUUGUUCGGAUUCAUUGGCGUAAAGGGUGCGUAGGUGGCGCCGUAAGUCGGGUGUGAAUUCGGAGCUUAACUCCGAAACUGCAUUCGAUACUGCGGUGCUUGAGGACUGGAGAGGAGACUGGAAUUCAUGGUGUAGCAGUGAAAAUGCGUAGAGAUCAUGAGGAAGACCGUGGCGGAGCGGUCGUCCUGGACGAGUUCCGUGAC